GGGGGGAAAGGCACGGGGAGGGGGGGUCUGAAUGGGGCAUCAACGGCUUCCGGCUUCCGCCACAACCAUCCUUUGAAUAACUGAAUACACAUUUUCCAAGAGCUCCCAGCGCCUAAAGGACACUCAUGAGCUGGCGCAUAGCACCACUGGGACCCAGCUUUAUGUCCCGACGCCCCAUCCUCGGUGGCAAACUCCAACGUCUGCAGAGCCCAUCAGGCAGGAAAGAUGAAGGGCAAAGCCAGCCGGAGGAAAGCGAUGUUGAUGCCUAUGGACAGAUGAUCUUUCUUCGCCCCGAAGCCCCCAGCGGUUCGGGACCCCGUUGGAUGGCGGCGGGGACGGAGUGGUUUCCAUCGCCAGGAUUCAAGUACUUUCAGCUGAUGUUUCCUUGGCACUGAAGCAGCUCGGUCACUGGCACCAGAAUGCCCCAGCCUGGCAGCGGAGGCAGAUGUACAAAUGAGAAAAUGCCCUGACAGACGGGCAAUAAUGCUAUUUUGCAACCGGCAAUGAAAUCGUGGAUCUGGGACGCGCUCAUCCAAGGAUGGGGAACUCACGAGGGAAAAGGCGGAUGAGGAGUAAAUUUCUGGAAGGUUCUUUUGCCCCCGUCUGAAGCCCUGAGUCAACCUUAGCAUCCCUCGGCAUGGCCCAGCUGGAGAGGGGGCGGCUCUUGCGGGGAGCAGCGGAAUGACCCAGUAUCCCUGAGUGUUCUUGCCCCAGAUCUGGAAUCUUCUCUAACUGCCUCAGGUUGGACUCCCUCCAGAGGCAGACCCUAGAUCUGAGAGCAAGGGGUUUGUUGGGGAAGUGGCUCCGGGAAGCACCAGAAGCGGCAAAGGGAAGUGAGACAGGGAAGAAAGGGAGGCAGUUUCAGGUAGUGGUAAGUGCAGGGAGUAACGACCACAAGUGCAGGGAGG
rnacentral:lncRNA from 1 species